GUCAGCUUGCCGGAGUGGUUAACGGGAUCGCCUGCUAUGCUGUCUCAGCGCUUCAGCAUCCAGACUAGCGGUUGUGCUUUGCACGCGAGUGUUCGAAUCGCUCAGCUGACG